rnacentral:rRNA from 1 species
AGACGUCUACAUUAGAUACCCGUGUAGUCCCAGCCGUAAACUAUGCGCGUUAGGUGUAUCGGUGACCACGAGUCACCGAGGUGCCGAAGGGAAACCGUGAAACGUGCCGCCUGGGAAGUACGGUCGCAAGGCUGAAACUUAAAGGAAUUGGCGGGAGCACCACAACGGGUGGAGCCUGCGGUUUAAUUGGACUCAACGCCGGGAAGCUCACCGGAUAAGACAGCGGAAUGAUUGCCGGGCUGAAGACUCUGCAUGACUAGCUG